rnacentral:rRNA from 1 species
CCUACGGGUGGCUGCAGUGGGGAAUAUUGCACAAUGGGGGAAACCCUGAUGCAGCGACGCCGCGUGAGUGAAGAAGUAUUUCGGUAUGUAAAGCUCUAUCAGCAGGGACGAGACAAGACGGUACCUUACUAAGAAGCCCCGGCUAACUACGGGCCAGCAGCAGCGGAAAUACGGAGGGGGCAAGCGUUAGUCGGAUUUAGUGGGUUUAAAGUGAGCGUAGAUGGGGUGUUAAGUCAGUUGUGAAGGUUUGCGGCUCAACCGUAGAAUUGCAAUUGAUACUGGCAGGCUUGAGUACUGUAGAGGUAGGGGGAAUUCGUGGUGUAGCGGUGAAAUGCGUAGAUAUCACGAGGAACACCGGUUGCGAAGGCGGCCUACUGGACUGAGACUGACGUUGAUGCUCGAAAGUGUGGGGAUCAAACAGGAUUAGAUACCCGUGUAGUC